rnacentral:lncRNA from 1 species
AAUCAUAUUACACCUAGAAAUCAGGACAAUUGCACCCAUGUAGAACCUUCAAAAAAUACCAUGUCAAAUUGCAAAAGCACUUAACCUUGGAUAAACUAACGGAAGGAGGAUAGGAACACAAACUGAAAUCAUGCUGUAAGUAAGAGGUACUAUUCUUCUAUUUUCUUACCUUUAUGUUGGACAUCCUAUAUGUGAAUAACAACGUUCUAUGUUUAUCUUCUAUAUCCAUGAAAUGACAACAUCUGGCCCUUAGUUCAUUGACCACAACUUAGCAUUUGAUCAAAUUGUUGGUUGGAUAUUUUUUGGUCGAGUCGGAUUUGUUUCCAAUAAAUAAUGGAGCUUACAUUGUGUUCAAUCAGAUUAGUUCAUGAACAACAACAACAAAUUCAGUGUAAUCCCGCAAGUGAUAUCUGGGAAGAAUAGUAUUACGCAACCUUACCCCUACCUUUAAAAAGGCAGAGAAGUUGUUUCCGGUAGACUCGUGGCUUAGGAGAUUGGUCCAUGAAAAGGCAAUAAUUUGCCUUUAUUUUCAUUCAGCCAAGGUUGUGGCCUAGUGGUCAAUAAAGUGGCUAAGAAUCAUGAGGUCUCAUGUGAAUUGCUCCUCUUGAGCCGAGGAUUGGAAAAUCGAAAAUAAUUUCUUUACCUCCACAAGGUAGGGGUAAGUUCUCUGUACACAUUAUCCUUCCCAGACCCUACCCCAUACUAAUAUACUGUUACGUUGUUGUCGUUAUAAGAACCAUGAGAUCUCAGGUUCAAAUACUAGUGUAAGCAAAAACAAUAGGUAACUUCUUCGUAUCUAUCUAAGCCUCCAAUACCCGAGGUAGUGGACAUCAUGUAAAUUAGUCGAGGUGCCUAUGAAGAAAAAAUUAGCCUUUAUUUUCAUCAAAUAAUCUCUUUUGAGAUGACUCAAAUACCUAUGACCUAUCUAAGUUAUUUUCAGGAAGCUUCAGUCACAUUGUAUUUGUUCAAGUUAGAUUAGCUUCCUAUAGAAAGUAGAGCUUGCACUGUUCAAUUUAGUUUUUCCUGUUUAUCAUACAUUCAUAUCUGAAACUUCUCAAAACAAAAAUAUAUAUUAUUAUUAUUAUUAUUAUUAUUAUUAUUACACAGUAUUUUUAAUUUGGAUAUUUUGAUUACCUUUCAGCGAUCAUAGCUAGGGAACGAUCGGAACAGUGUCUAACCCGAAUGGUAGUAAGAGUUCC